GUUUACGGCCAUACCACCCUGAACACACCCUAUCUCAUCUGAUCUCGGAAGCUAAGCAGGGUCAGACCUGAUUAGUACUUGGAUGAGAGAAAGGCAUGUUAAUAUGGAAG
rnacentral:rRNA from 1 species